rnacentral:rRNA from 1 species
CUGACGCAGCUACGCCGCGUGCGGGAUGAAGGCUUCGGGUUGUAAACCCCUUUUGGCCGGGACGAUUAGUCCCGGCCUAACAGGUCGGAGUCUGGCCGUACCCGGCGAGCGAACCCCCGGUAAAUUUCUGCCCGCCAGCCCGGGAAUUAUUUAGGGGGCCGAGGUUUUUCGGAUUUCUUGGGCUUAAAGGGGGGUAAACGGCCUGGUUUAACCCGGGUUUAAUCCCCGGGGUCCACCCGGGGACAGCGUUUGAGAGUGGCGGGGAAUUAUGGGGUGGGGGGGAAGGGGAUUUCAGUUGUGGGGGGAAACAUAGGUGAAAAUUUGGGGGGAAUACCCCGUUGCCUGACUCUGAUUCUCGAACGUGUGGUGUGGCCUUAGGGGCUAAUAACCCC